UUGAGCCAUUUUGCGCACGAGAAAAGCGUUUCAUAAACUUGGACGCGAACAGGUCCAGUCGUCGAGUCACAGGCUCAAAUAUGGGCAUAGGUGCUAAUAUGAUGAGCUGGGCAACCACUAUUUGCAGCCGUCAAGUAACAUUCCGUAAGUAUUCAGUAACAAAGGCUACCUAACCUAACCUAACCUGAUACGCAUACAUAUGCUUAUAUUUUUUUUCUCGUCGAAUGAAAAGGAAGCGAGAGAAAGGGAGAGGGCCCGAGCCUCUGGGAGCCGAGGAGAAUCCCCAAAACGCAAUACCAUACGCCGCAGUACGUGUUAUUUUGUUCUGGAAUCUUCCAAAGUCAUACCAAGACACUUAUGAAACAUUGACUGCCACGGUCGUCAAAGAAGUCCCAUAACUAAGGAACUGAGUAUUGUGUGGCAAAAAACCAAAGUUUAUUGGCCAAUCACGGAAUGGAAAACAAAUUUGCAAAGCUUGA